GACAUGUCUGAAUACCCAUACUAGCAUACUACAUACUAUACGUAUACUUGAUAUGACUACUAAUCGUCGCAUACUAUUUAGCAUGUAAUGUUUAGUAAAAGGUAUGCUGUAUGUCACGGCUGCAAUGCAGUCGCAGCUCCUGAUUGGCUGAGUAGGUGGGGCGGGGCCGAGUGUGGGUGAAUUUGUCCAAAUGCAAAAGACAUGCAUCUCAUUAACCAGCCUGAUAAUAGCUCAUUUCUAAUUGUAUUAAUUUCUCUAAACUCUGAAUAAAACUACCUACUCCACAGUAGACCUAUACAGUAGUAGACCAUAUAGACAAUCUACCCUAUUUAAAAACAGACUGAAGACAGAAACAGACCAUUUGGUUCCAUUUCAACAUAUUUAUUAUUUUAUUAGUUCAACGUUUUUUAAAGUGUUUAAAUCAAAAGGCUAUUGGACAGAAAAACUUGAGCAUUCGGUGCAUCGCGAAUUAGGAACCGCUGGACAGCAACGUAAUAAACGAACGCGCUGAUCAUUGGGAACGAGAUCAGAAUGACUGCUAAGGCCUGAUCCAUAAAUUAAAUCAUUCAAUAGGUAGCCUAGCCUACAAAACUAAAACAAAAGGCCUGAUUCACAUGACAUCAAUACCACAGCAACAUCCCAAGUCCCCGGUGUCGACACGUUCAGAAAUCAAAAGAUAAUUUUAAAACUCUGACGAAGACCAAGAGAACAAGAAACACUUUUCAGAGAGGAAACAAAAAUCCACUUUGGGCAAUUAGGAGUCACAGCCGCCUCUCCCCCUCCAUGGAUGAGGCAGCCAGCUGACAAGGCUGCUGUGGUUCCCGCCAAUGGCGGAGGUUGGACUAUGGCUGGCAAAAGAAGCAUCCAGAUUCAGACUUACGGGGUUCCAUGGCCAAGGUAGAAGGCUGAUCUUGUCGGGGUACCAUGCCGGAGCAGACAGCUGCAGCUGCAGACACGAUUUUUAAUUGCAUGUUGAGUGCCCAGUGGGUGGAUGCUGUGUUGCCCUUUUAACAUUGAGUAACUUUGUGUGUUAUAGCCGUCAGGCCUUACUAUACAUUGAAUAAUCUAAUGGUGUGUUAUCAUAGUUGCUCUGGCAGUUUUGUGUGUACUAUUCAUCUUACCAAAAUAACUUUAUUUGUUAUUGUACACCCUUUUUCUCCCCAAUUUCGUGAUAUCCAAUUGCAAUCCAACUAUGAUCUUGUGUCAUCGCUGCAACUCCCCAACGGGCUCAGGAGAGGCAAAUGUCAAGUCAUGCGUCCUCCGAAAAAUGACACACCAAACCGCGCUUCUUAACACCUGCCUGCUUAACCCGGAAGCAAGCUGCACCAACGAGGAAACACCGUUCAACUGACGGCCGAGACAAAGACCCGAAGACAUUCAAGCAGCACUUUGAGAGUAAGCAUCCCAGUACUGGUUGAUGUGCUGGCCUAAGUGGACCAAAUGGACCUACUGCUGGGACAGACGAUGACCACGAUUUGAAAUCUGCAACUGAGAUGGAAUAACAUUGAGGGACACACGCUGACACCGAGUAUGACUGGACAUGGGCCGGAUAUUUGGGACAACAACCUGAAAGGGGUGCAUAAGCACACCAGCACCCCAAUUUAUGUUAUUCCAUGGCCAACCAUCCCACUAGCUACCCCUUAUUCCACACUAUGCCGUGUAUGCCCCCUCAACUCCAGACACUUUGGAACUAUCCACCUUCCCAACCUACCUUCACUGAUUUUCGCUAUGCUGCUUCCUUCACUUGUUCUUCUAAUAGCAUCUAGAAUCAGUAACACCUUUAAAUGUGGUCCUGCUUUAAAUGACGUUCUGCUUAUAAAGCCUUCAUAAUGCCGUCAUAAGCACAACACAAGUGUUGCAAAGCAUCUAUAACCGUAUGUCAUGCUUUAUAAAGGGUUCAUAAAUGUGGCAUAACUGUGUUACAUAAUCACCCAUGUCAAAUGUGACAACACUUAUGUUGAAUAUGAUACAAUCAAGUGCUUUAUAACGGGUGACAUGUUGUGUUGCGUUGGCACAGGAUGGCACAUGCGCUACAGUGAAGUCAUGUUAGCCACAUUACACCUAAUCUCGAUCCCAGACACCCAAAUGCACAGAAGGUCUAGUGGACCAAUGCAUGAAACUUGGCCUUCAUUAGUUAGGGUUGGGUUUCACAUGAAAUUUGAAUCAGAUUGAUUGAGGAAAUGGGCAGUGAUUAGCCAUAAUUAUGACUCUGUGGCUGUACUUCAUAAGUCAUCAGAACCUUAAUGACCUAUUUAAGGACACUUUAUCUGGUGUCCUGUAAUACUUUGUUUGAAGUGAUACAACUUCGGUCAUUCAUAACACAUCCGUAAAGACUCUAUAUCCCAUAGCGCUGUACUUUAAAGUCUCCUUUAGUCAUUCAUAGCACAUACAUAAAUGCCUUGUAUCAUAUGACGCUGUACUUACUAUAAAGUCAGACACAUUUGGUCAUUUCUAAACACACAUAGAUGCCUUGUAUCAUAUGACGCUGUACUUACUAUAAAGUCAGACACAUUUGGUCAUUUCUAAACACACAUAGAUGCCUU
ensembl:lncRNA